AAUAGUUUUAUUUUGGCUAAAAAAUUUAUUGUAUUUAUAUUUUAUAUGAAAAUUUAUGUAAGAAUUUAUAUUGAUCUUAAUGAUUAUUAUAAUUAUUUAUUCUCAGUAUUUUGUAUUAAUUAUUAAAGAAAUUUAGAUUUAGUAAUAAAUGGUAGUAUAGGUUAAUCUUGUGCCAGCAGCUGCGGUUAUACAAGAUAUACAAAUAAAUUUUAUUAUUUUGUAGUUAAGUAGUAAUUUUUAAUUGAAAUAUUUGUUGAUAAGGUGAAAUUUUCAAUAAGAAUUUAGAUUAAUAAAUAAUUUAUUGAAGCUAUAAAAUUUUAAUUAUAAACUAGGAUUAGAUACCCUAUUAUUUAAAAUAUAAAUUUAUAAAUUAGGUAGUAAUAGAUAUGUUCUUGAAACUUAAAAAAUUUGGCGGUAUUUUAAUCUAUUUAGAGGAAUCUGUUCCAUAAUUGAUAAUCCACGAUAAAUUUUACAUAAUUUUAUUUAGUUUGUAUAUCGUCGUUAUAAGAAUAUUUUAUAAGAAUAUAAAUUUUCUAAAAUUUUAAUUUGAAUUUAUUUCAGAUCAAGGUGCAGCUUAUAGUUAUGAGGAAAUGGAUUACAAUAAAUUUAUUUAUUAUGAAUAAUAAGAUGAAAUUUUUAUUUGAAGGUGGAUUUAAAAGUAAGAUAAAUGAUAUAUUUUAUUUGACUUUAGCUCUAAAAUAUGCACAUAUCGCCCGUCACUCUCUUUAUUUUAAAAAGAGAUAAGUCGUAACAAAGUAGGUGUACUGGAAAGUGUACCUAGAAUUAACAA
rnacentral:ncRNA from 1 species